rnacentral:lncRNA from 1 species
AUCCCAUUUAAUAGGAAGAGAGGGUCAUGUAACUCUACUUACUCCUAUGAUCAAACAGCCUAGUGAUUAUUCAAUCUAAGUACUUUGCUACUCAGAUCAUCUAAUCUAACAUAUACAGGAUCGAUCAAAUAUCAGAUCUAAAAAUAAAAAUUAUUUAGAUCUAAUCUAAAUAACAUAAAAUCAGAUCUAAAUAGAUAUAAAAUCAUAUCAUAUUGAAUGAGAUUUUGAUACCAUAUGAAGAAAAAAUAGGUAGU